rnacentral:rRNA from 1 species
CUUGACAAAAUAUAAGAGGUCCAGCCUGCCCAGUGACCUAGGUUCAACGGCCGCGGUAUCCUAACCGUGCGAAGGUAGCGUAAUCACUUGUUCUUUAAAUGGGGACUAGUAUGAAUGGCAUCACGAGGGUUAAACUGUCUCCUUUUUUUAAUCAGUGAAACUAAUCUCCCCGUGAAGAAGCGAGGAUUAACUUAUAAGACGAGAAGACCCUAUGGAGCUUAAAACAAAUUUACACCUGCUUUAAUAUACCUCUCUUCCUGAACAUUCACACAAAUUAUAGCAUGACUGAUAAAUAGUUUUCGAUUGGGGUGAUCAUGGAGAAAAAACCAACCUCCACGACGACAAGGGAACAUCCCUGAGCUAAAAGCCACAACUUUAAGCACUAAAAAAUUAACGCAUUUUGACCCAAUUACUUGAGCAACGAACCAAGUUACCCUAGGGAUAACAGCGCAAUCCACUUCAAGAGCUCCUAUCGACAAGUGGGCUUACGACCUCGAUGUUGGAUCAG